AUUGAAUGAGGCGAUGGAGUUCGCCAUAACCGCUUCCAUAGCUAAUGACUCCUACCAGAGG
rnacentral:ncRNA from 20 species